UACGUAGGGUGCGAGCGUUGUCCGGAAUUACUGGGCGUAAAGAGCUCGUAGGUGGUUUGUCGCGUUGUCCGUGAAAACUCACAGCUCAACUGUGGGCGUGCGGGCGAUACGGGCAGACUGGAGUACUGCAGGGGAGACUGGAAUUCCUGGUGUAGCGGUGGAAUGCGCAGAUAUCAGGAGGAACACCGGUGGCGAAGGCGGUGGUCUGGGCCGGCACUGACGCUGAGGAGCGAAAGCGUGGGGAGCGAACAGG
rnacentral:rRNA from 1 species